rnacentral:rRNA from 1 species
AUUGAACGCUGGCGGCAUGCCUUACACAUGCAAGUCGAACGGCAGCACGGGAGCAAUCCUGGUGGCGAGUGGCGAACGGGUGAGUAAUAUAUCGGAACGUGCCCAGUCGUGGGGGAUAACGUAGCGAAAGCUACGCUAAUACCGCAUACGAUCUAUGGAUGAAAGCGGGGGAUCGCAAGACCUCGCGCGAUUGGAGCGGCCGAUAUCAGAUUAGGUAGUUGGUGAGGUAAAGGCUCACCAAGCCGACGAUCUGCAGCUGGUCUGAGAGGACGACCAGCCACACUGGGACUGAGACACGGCCCAGACUCCUACGGGAGGCAGCAGUGGGGAAUUUUGGACAAUGGGCGCAAGCCUGAUCCAGCAAUGCCGCGUGCAGGAUGAAGGCCUCGGUU